GACGAACGCUGGCGGCGUGCUUAACACAUGCAAGUCGAACGGUGACGCACCUUCGGGUGCUGAUUAGUGGCGAACGGGUGAGUAACACAUGGGCAACCUGCCCCUGACUCUGGGAUAAAUCCUCGAAAGAGGUGCUAAUACCGGAUAUCACCUCCCUCGGCAUCGGGGGAGGUCGAAAGUUUUUCGGUCAGGGAGGGGCCCGCGGCCUAUCAGCUAGUUGGUGGGGUAACGGCCCACCAAGGCGACGACGGGUAGUCGGCCUGAGAGGGCGACCGGCCACACUGGGACUGAGACACGGCCCAGACUCCUACGGGAGGCAGCAGUGGGGAAUAUUGCGCAAUGGGCGAAAGCCUGACGCAGCAACGCCGCGUGAGGGAUGACGGCCUUCGGGUUGUAAACCUCUUUCAGCGGGGACGAAGCGAAAGUGACUGUACCCGCAGAAGAAGCGCCGGCUAACUACGUGCCAGCCGCCGCAGUAACAC
rnacentral:rRNA from 1 species